rnacentral:rRNA from 1 species
CUAAGAAUAUUCCGCAAUGGACGAAAGUCUGACGGAGCGACGCCGCGUGGAUGAUGAAGGCCGAAAGGUUGUAAAGUCCUUUCGCUGGGGAAGAAUAAGUGUGGGAGGGAAUGCCCGCAUGAUGACAUGAACCGGCGAAUAAGCCCCGGCCAACUACGUG